rnacentral:sRNA from 12 species
CUUGUGGACGGUUAUAUCACAUGGGAGUAGAUUUUAUAUUGGAAGAUAUGAAACCAAACCAGACAGGAAGAAGCAAGAA